UCUCUCUCACUCUCUCACUCACUCACUCACUGAACUCUUUCUGCCUUCUGUUUAUGGUGAUUUUUAAUUCUAGUCUUCCCUUGUAUAUCAUUUACAUUGACAAAUAUGCUGAGAUAUGGAAGAACCCUGUCAGUAUCAGUCACACAACUGAGAAAGCAGAAAAUAUAAACAUAGCAUUUAGCAGGGAUAGGUUGACUUCUGUCCCAUCAUACCAGGCUAUUGCUUUGGUGAUAACUCAUGCGGUAGCCUACGGAUGAGUAACAGACCUCUGGACAAGCAAAGAAACUUCCAAGAGCAACAAGCUGGUGGGUAACAGGGCUAGGAAGGAGAAACAGCAAGAAGCAAUUGUAUCAUUUCCAGCAGGAAGACGGAGCUCUCUGCACUCUGCACUCUGCACUGCCCAGGGGAAUGCUGCCUCUGCACAUAAUGCUGUAAGCCCAGUGUGCAGGUUACCAGAAGUGAAAAAAAGAAAAGCCCAGAAAUAACAAUGCAAUAAGGGAAGCAUCCAAACUGCUUUGGCAGUUUUGAAAUUUUAUCUCCAAUACUUUGUAGCUUAUCCAGUAAUCGUAGACAGCCACACAUCGUUGGCAAAGUUAGGACAAACUAUGUAGGAGUGUGGAAACGUGAGGAGACUCUGGGCUCUUGGUUGCUUCUCAAGUCAGCAACUCAACCAUCAGGAAAUCUUAUGUAAUGUUCUUUCUCAACUAGCCUCACCGACUUAGCCGGGGAUAGAAAAGCCUUCUCGCUUUACAGCAUCAUUUAUUUAUAAGCUUCCCCUGCUCCCCUUUGAGCCUAUCAAAUAAUGAAUUCAGUUGCAUCUGAGGCCAAGCGGGGCUCUGAAUACAGACCCCUCAUCAGAUUCAUCCUACCUGGUAAAACUAUCCUCUUGCCAGCUUAACUGCCGUUCACAGACAUCGUAACGCCACCCCAUACUAGAAUGGCCAUUUCUAACCUCUCUCUAACCUCUCCCCUGUAAUUGAAUGAGAUGGUGACUCUUUAGAGACCUGGUCAUGAGUGCACUGCAUCUUAGAGAUACAAACAGUUCACUUCCCCCACCCUGUGACACCACUCAGAGCUUGGAGUCACCAUGAGUCUGCGGCACUUUAAAAUAGUUUUGCUCUUCAGAAAGGCAUAAAUGUUACGGCAACAACAUAAUAUUCAUGUUGUUAGCUCUUGAGAUGGAAAACCUGAUAUAAUAUGAAUAGGGCAAGAGACUCAGAAACUGUCCUUAUAAAUAUUGAUCUUUCUAUGAACUAGAUACUAUAUUCUACAUAAGAUUAAGCAUCUCAUGGAUCUAGCAUAUUCUUCAAAGAACUCAACCAUUGAGCAUUGGUAUUGCUUAGCACGCCCCCCCUCCCCAAAGCACACAUGAACUCCAAUCACCACAUUGUGGAGCUCCCAUCCUCAAACAUAAAUGAAUUAGUGAGAGAAAUGAAAUGAUCUCAGAUUUCUUAGAUGGCCAAUUUAGAUAUCUCAAAUAUUCAAGUAAUUUUUUAUUGAUGUUGUAAAUAAAGCCAAUAGGUGGCUUCUGGUUAGUCCUAUUUAGGCUACUAAGAUAAACACUUUUGUGGAAUUUAAUGUUUUAUUAGCAUUACUAGUUGUACAUAAUGGGUCCAUUAUGACAUCUUCAUAUAUGUAUAUAAUACAUUUUGGUCACAUUCACCCAGCCACCACUGAUCUUCAUUUCAACAGUUCCCUUGCUAUUUUGAUGGUCUACUGAAUUUCAUUAGGUUGCUCAGAGAAGCGUAGAUACAGGAUUAUUUGAAGGAGUAUGGGUACCAGUGGCUGGACUGCUAAGGAAAACAUCUGUCCAUUAACCAUUAACUACAUAUAGAUCCUCCAUGAUGGGUAUUGAUAGGUUCAUACUCUUUGGUUGGUUGGUUUGGUUUCUUUGUAUAGCCCUGGCUGUCCUGCAACUAGCUCUGUAGACCAGGCUGGCCUCGAACUCAUAGAGAUCAACUUGCCUCUGCUUCCCUAGUGCUGGGAUUAAAGGUGUGGACCACCAUCUGCCAGCUGGCAUGUUCAUCCUCACACAGUUUUUCUUGGAAAAAGAAAAACAGUGUUAUUAGUGAAAGUAUUGCAAGGGGACUCUGGGCUAGUGGGCUGUCAGGGGUUGGGGGGCCAAGACACAGACACUAUCUCACUCUCCUCUGCAUUUGACUUUACUUGUUGAUUUUUCUUUGAGUAAAACUAAAGGCAUUCACCGGUCAUGGUGGCAUAUGCCUUUAGUCCCAAUACACAGAAGGCAGGCAAAGCUCUGAGAGUUUGAGGCCAGCCAGGUCUACACAGUGAAACACUGUCUCAAACAAACAAACAAACCCUAAAGAAAUCUUUUAGGAUCUGCUCUAUAAAGGAAUAGCACAAUGCAAUCUGCCUCUCGCUCUCAGAGCCAGUGGCAGUUCUGCAAAGACCUUCACAACAGGGUUCUUCAAAAUGAGGCACCAGAGACUUGGGGAAUGUUUUUGUCCCAGCAGAACUGUCACAUGCAUGAGAAAGCAUAGCAGUCAGGCUCACCUUAUCAGCCUGCUAGCUGGGCAAGGCUAGCCUUAGGAGGAACAAACAGGAAAUGCGGACGCAUGUUACACAGGAAGGUGUUGGUCAAUGGCACCUUUCAGCUUAGACCCUUUGGUCUUUCAGUUGAUCAUGGCUUUCUGCUUUCUCAGAACAGUGACUAAGACAAUCCUUUAUCCAAAAGUUCCUAGUCUCAGAACAGUGACUAAGACAAUCCUUUAUCUAAAAGUUCCUAGUUGACAAUGGAAAAUUGUGGGUGGGAACUAAGGAGAGAAUUAUGGUUAAACUGGAGUUUUUAAACUUUAAUCUGGGAGACAU
rnacentral:lncRNA from 1 species